UGCCCAGUAACUCCUAUCCCUACCUCCUCGUGGUACUGGCCGGGGUACGAGCAACCUUAGGGAAGAUCGGGUAACCAACCCCGGUGGGAGCUUUGGUCGUAUGCUGACAGGGAAGG
rnacentral:ribozyme from 1 species